rnacentral:rRNA from 1 species
UACGUAGGUGGCAAGCGUUAUCCGGAAUUAUUGGGCGUAAAGCGCGCGCAGGCGGUUUCUUAAGUCUGAUGUGAAAGCCCACGGCUCAACCGUGGAGGGUCAUUGGAAACUGGGGAACUUGAGUGCAGAAGAGAAAAGCGGAAUUCCACGUGUAGCGGUGAAAUGGCGUAGAGAUGUGGAGGAACACCAGUGGCGAAGGCGGCUUUUUGGUCUGUAACUGACGCUGAGGCGCGAAAGCGUGGGGAGCAAACAGG